CGAGCCAAGCACAACGGAUCUGGGGAGACGGUCAGACUACUCCGUGUGACCCCAGCGGUGGGCGCACGUCAUUACAGCUUCGUCCAAACCAGCACAAGCGAGUCCCCCUCACACACCCUGGGAGACGAUGUCGAUGCCACGUUCCAUGUCCUUGGUCCACCCCGCAGGAAUUCCUACCCAGAAACUAAAUAUGGCCCCAAGUGUCUCAUCUCUCCGUCUCACGGUGUGCAGCGUGGAGCUGGCUUGGGGUCCUCUCUCUCCCUCCCUCUCUCACCCUCCCCC